UACAGAGGGUGCUAGCGUUGUUCGGAAUCAUUGGGCGUAAAGGGCGUGUAGGCGGUUUGUUAAGUCAUGUGUGAAAUCCCUCGGCUCAACCGGGGAACGACGCAUGAAACUGGCAAGCUAGAGUACCAAAGAGGGGGGUGGAAUUUCCGGUGUAGCGGUGAAAUGCGUAGAUAUCGGGAGGAACACCUGUGGCGAAGGCGGCCCCCUGGUUGGAUACUGACGCUGAUACGCGAAAGCGUGGGGAGCAAACAGG
rnacentral:rRNA from 1 species